rnacentral:rRNA from 1 species
GGUCAAGCGAACAAGUGCAUGUGGUGGAUGCCUUGGCGAUCACAGGCGAUGAAGGACGCGGUAGCCUGCGAAAAGCUACGGGGAGCUGGCAAACGAGCUUUGAUCCGUAGAUGUCCGAAUGGGGAAACCCACUCCGUAUGGAGUAUCCAUGACUGAAUCCAUAGGUCAUGAGAAGCGAACGCGGUGAACUGAAACAUCUAAGUAACCGCAGGAAAAGAAAUCAACCGAGAUUCCCAGAGUAGUGGCGAGCGAAAUGGGACCAGCCUGUACUCUUUAUCUUCAUUGUUAGUCGAAGGCUCUGGAAAGUGCUGCCAUAGCAGGUGAUAGCCCUGUAGACGAAAACAGCGAGGAAGAACUAGGUGUACGACAAGUAGGGCGGGACACGUGAAAUCCUGUCUGAAGAUGGGGGGACCAUCCUCCAAGGCUAAAUACUCGUGAUCGACCGAUAGUGAACCAGUACCGUGAGGGAAAGGCGAAAAGAACCCCGGGAGGGGAGUGAAACAGAUCCUGAAACCGCAUGCAUACAAACAGUCGGAGCCUCGUAAGGGGUGACGGCGUACCUUUUGUAUAAUGGGUCAGCGACUUACAUUCAGUGGCAAGCUUAACCGAUUAGGGCAGGCGUAGCGAAAGCGAGUCCGAACAGGGCGUUCAGUCGCUGGGUGUAGACCCGAAACCAGGUGAUCUAUCCAUGGCCAGGAUGAAGGUGCGGUAACACGUACUGGAGGUCCGAACCCACUAACGUUGAAAAGUUAGGGGAUGAGCUGUGGAUAGGGGUGAAAGGCUAAACAAACCUGGAAAUAGCUGGUUCUCUCCGAAAACUAUUUAGGUAGUGCCUCGUGUAUCACCUUCGGGGGUAGAGCACUGUCAUGGUUGUGGGGUCCAUUGCGGAUUACUACGCCAUAGCAAACUCCGAAUACCGAAGAGUGCAAUCACGGGAGACAGACAUCGGGUGCUAACGUCCGGUGUCAAGAGGGAAACAACCCAGACCGCCAGCUAAGGUCCCCAAAUAUGGCUAAGUGGGAAACGAAGUGGGAAGGCUAAAACAGUCAGGAGGUUGGCUUAGAAGCAGCCAUCCUUUAAAGAAAGCGUAAUAGCUCACUGAUCGAGUCGUCCUGCGCGGAAGAUGUAACGGGGCUAAGCCAUAUACCGAAGCUGCGGAUGCACAUUUAUGUGCAUGGUAGGAGAGCGUUCCGUAAGCCUGCGAAGGUGCACUGGAAAGUGUGCUGGAGGUAUCGGAAGUGCGAAUGCUGACAUGAGUAGCGAUAAAGGGGGUGAAAGGCCCCCUCGCCGUAAGCCCAAGGUUUCCUACGCAACGUUCAUCGGCGUAGGGUGAGUCGGCCCCUAAGGCGAGGCAGAAAUGCGUAGCUGAUGGGAAGCAGGUUAAUAUUCCUGCACCAUUGUUGAAUGCGAUGGGGGGACGGAUCGCGGAAGGUUGUCCGGGUGUUGGAAGUCCCGGUCCUUGCAUUGGAGAAGGCGCUUUGGCAAAUCCGGGCGCGCAAUUCAAGGGUGUGAGGCCAGUCACUUCGGUGACGAAGCAAUCGGAAGUGGUUCCAGGAAAAGCCUCUAAGCUUCAGUUCAACAAGACCGUACCGCAAACCGACACAGGUGGGCGAGAUGAGUAUUCUAAGGCGCUUGAGAGAACUCGGGAGAAGGAACUCGGCAAAUUGGUACCGUAACUUCGGGAUAAGGUACGCCCCUGUAGCUUGACUCGCCUGCGCGAGAAGGGUGAAGGGGUUGCAAUAAACUGGUGGCUGCGACUGUUUAAUAAAAACACAGCACUCUGCAAACACGAAAGUGGACGUAUAGGGUGUGACGCCUGCCCGGUGCCGGAAGAUUAAAUGAUGGGGUGCAAGCUCCUGAUUGAAGUCCCGGUAAACGGCGGCCGUAACUAUAACGGUCCUAAGGUAGCGAAAUUCCUUGUCGGGUAAGUUCCGACCUGCACGAAUGGCGUAACGAUGGCCACACUGUCUCCUCCCGAGACUCAGCGAAGUUGAAGUGUUUGUGAUGAUGCAAUCUCCCCGCGGCUAGACGGAAAGACCCCAUGAACCUUUACUGUAGCUUUGCAUUGGACUUUGAACCGGUCUGUGUAGGAUAGGUGGGAGGCUGUGAAGCGUGGACGCCAGUCUGCGUGGAGCCGUCCUUGAAAUACCACCCUGAUCUGUUUGAGGUUCUAACCUUGGUCCGUAAUCCGGAUCGGGGACA